UGCAGUCGACGGCAGCACGGAGCUUGCUCUGGUGGCGAGUGGCGAACGGGUGAGUAANGCGUCGGAACGUAUCCAAUAAUGGGGGAUAACGCAGCGAAAGCUGUGCUAAUACCGCAUACGCCCUCCGGGGGAAAGCAGGGGAUCGUAAGACCUUGCGUUAAUGGAGCGGCCGACGUCUGAUUAGCUAGUUGGUAGGGUAAAGGCCUACCAAGGCGACGAUCAGUAGCUGGUCUGAGAGGAUGAUCAGCCACACUGGGACUGAGACACGGCCCAGACUCCUACGGGAGGCAGCAGUGGGGAAUUUUGGACAAUGGGCGCAAGCCUGAUCCAGCCAUUCCGCGUGAGUGAAGAAGGCCUUCGGGUUGUAAAGCUCUUUCAGGAGGGAAGAAACGAUUGUGGCUAAUACCCAUGAUUAAUGACGGUACCUUCAGAAGAAGCACCGGCUAACUACGUGCCAGCAGCCGCGGUAAUACGUAGGGUGCGAGCGUUAAUCGGAAUUACUGGGCGUAAAGCGUGCGCAGGCGGUUUUUCAAGUCUGAUGUGAAAUCCCCGGGCUUAACCUGGGAACUGCGUUGGAAACUGAAAGACUAGAGUGCGGCAGAGGGGGGUAGAAUUCCACGUGUAGCAGUGAAAUGCGUAGAUAUGUGGAGGAAUACCGAUGGCGAAGGCAGCCCCCUGGGUCGACACUGACGCUCAUGCACGAAAGCGUGGGUAGCAAACAGGAUUAGAUACCCUGGUAGUCCACGCCCUAAACGAUGUCAACUAGUUGUUGGGGAGAGAGACCUCCUUAGUAACGCAGCUAACGCGUGAAGUUGACCGCCUGGGGAGUACGGUCGCAAGAUUAAAACUCAAAGGAAUUGACGGGGGCCCGCACAAGCGGUGGAUUAUGUGGAUUAAUUCGAUGCAACGCGAAAAACCUUACCUACCCUUGAC
rnacentral:rRNA from 1 species